CAGGUUGGCAGAAAGAAUAGCUGAAAUACCUUCCACUCCAAAAUUCUACUGCAAUUCCAGAACCACAGAAUGUGUACAAAUGCACCUGUGACAAAGCAGAGCUGAAGGAGGGCUAUCAUUAGUACAGUGAAUUUAUCACCCCACUUCUGGAGGACAGAAAGGACCGAAAGGAGCAACAUGCCCUGUCUUCCUUCCUAGCCUUCUCUAGGCAGAGUGGUGCAUCUACUCCACAGCUCUGCUUGGAUGCCAGCACUUAUCAUCUGC
rnacentral:lncRNA from 1 species